rnacentral:rRNA from 1 species
UACGGAGGGUGCAAGCAUUAAUCGGAUUUAUUGGGCGUAAAGGGCGUGUAGGCGGGUUUGUAAGUCAGAUGUGAAAUUCCAAAGCUCAACUUUGGGACUGCAUUUGAAACUACAGAUCUGGAGGAUUGGCGGAGAAAAUGGAAUUCCACGUGUAGCGGUGAAAUGCGUAGAUAUGUGGAAGAACACCAGUGGCGAAAGCGGUUUUCUAGCUUAUACCUGACGCUGAGGCGCGAAAGCAAGGGGAUCAAACAGG